CUACAAGUCAAAAGGCAUGUACUAUUCAGUGCCCUUGAUUGACUUCAAGAUUGCAGAUUCUCAAAACAAAAAUUGUCAUUAUGAUGUACUUGUUCAGUGGACAAAUGUAUUUUAGAGAAAAUUUGAUAAAGGCUACAAACAAACAAAUUUGAAAAUAAGGGCCAUUUCUUAGCUGAAUUUUCCAUUAAUUGAGAUUUUUACAUUUUACUCUAGCAUUGGAGUUUUCUUUCAUUUUGUUUUGAACUUUUCAAAGUACCAGAAAUUAGGAUCCAUAUGCAGUAGAUGGACUGCUUUCUAUUUUCAUUUUACUUGUGAGAAGAUUGCUGUGCCGGGAGGUAAGUAACAUGCCCAAGGAAUAUAAGUUAGAUCUUCUGAUUUUCCAUCAAAAAUUUUCCCAUGGCUUUCCCAGCACUCUCGUCACAUAUCUUUGUUCACAGUUUUAUUGUGUCAUUUUCAAGGUGAAAAAUAUAGGGAGGAGCAGACAGAAACAGUUUUGUAUAUAGCUCAGCUAAUUGUGUGAAGUUGGUGGUCAUGAAGCUGUGGGACUUGGAACGCUGGUUACAGCGAGGCAGAAUGUGGGCAGAAGAUGCUUCCUCUAGGCAGCUCGGGCAAAGAUUCGUGCACCACUCUUGCCUCUGCAGCUUAUUUUUUAGCAGACACAGGGACCAUGCAGCCAUCAGCUCAGUUUCUGUACACGACAAAUCCUGACCUGGGGAGGGACAUACUUAUGUAAACCUCCCCCAGCCCCCAGUGCAUCCUUGUCAUGCUGCCAGCAAAUGUUUAGUGGAGCAGCAGCCAGAGUCUGCUUGGGAACUUGCAACCUGUGUACAUCAGAUGAGUGACCAAGAUGCUUGGGUGUGUGCUGACUCAUUUAAGAACAUCUGAUUUAGAGAGCUGCAGGGGUGUGGGUGUUAGAGUGCACUGUGGUUGAUUUUCCAGCGUUCUGCCAAAAAAGCAAUAAAUGGAAGUGGCAAAUGAUGAAGUCAAAACACAAUUAAGGUACUGUUAAGAAUCUAACUAGUUAUUUCUUAAAUCUGUCUUUCAAGAUACCCUGGUCGUUAGCAUCUGAUUUCAGCAAUAUUUUAGAGAUGCUGAAAUAGGGAUAGUAAUAUUUGUUGAGCACUUACUGUAUGCCAGGUAUUUUUCUAAGUCUUUACAUGCAUUAAAUAAGUCGUUCCUACAACCACCCUCUGAGGCAGGUGCUAUUAUCAUGUCCAUUUUCCAAUCAGGGCAGAAGUAACUAUCCUGAGGAUACUAGGGCAUCCUUGGUAGAGCAUAAUAUUCAACCCAGGUCUGAAUCAAGUCUACACCAUUAACCAUGAAAUGCUAUUAAUACCAAGGAGUCAGUGCCAUUUAAAUAGAAGUAAAUGGUUAGGGCUUAAAGUUCAGCAAAUGCUGUUUCUAUACCUCUUUCUGAUUUUUUUGUAUGUACAAAUAGAAGAUGAAAGUUUGUCUGUUUAUUCUGAAAUAUGCACUAAAUUGUGAUUAAAUGGAGACUAUGAAGAAGAGAUUACAGUCCUUUUACAUAUGAUGGAUAAAUGAGUCCCUUUCAUUCUUUCAGGUGGUUGAUCUCUGCUCAAGGACUUUCUGAAGGCCACCUUUUGCUCUGGGAGGGAGAAGCAGGUCUCUGUGAGCCGCUGGGGGCUAGUCUGAGCUUUGAUCCUGACUUGUGUUGCAGACCAAGUUAUAAUCUCCCUGAGGUUCAGCUCAUCAUCUUAAAUUGGGAACAGAUGAAGCAAGGUCCAAUGCUGUAAAGAGCAAUAUUGCAUAGGAAUCUGGAAUGUUAGGUCCAUGAUUCAAGGCAAACUGGAAGUGGUCAAACAGGAGAUGGCAAGAGUGAAUGUCGACAUUCUAUGAAUCAGUGAACUAAAAUGGACUGGACUGGGUGAAUUUAACUCAGAUGACCAUUAUAUCUACUACUGUGGGCAAGAAUCCUGUAGAAGAAAAGGAGUAGCCAUCAUAGUCAACAAAAGAGUCCGAAUUGCAGUACUUGGAUGCAAUCUCAAAAACGACAGAAUGAUCUCUGUUCGUUUCCUAGGCAAACCAUUCAAUAUCACAGUAAACCAAACCAUGCAAUAUCACAGUAAACCAAGUCUAUACCCCAACCAGUAACACUGAAGAAGCUGAAGUUGAACAGUCCUAUGAAGACCUACAAGAUUUUUUAGAACUAACACCCAAAAAAGAUGUCCUUUUCAUUAUAUGGGACUGGAAUGCAAAAGUAGGAAGUCAAGAAACACCUGGGGUAACAGGCAAAUUUGGCCUUGGAAUACGGAAUGAAGCAGGGCAAAGGCUAAUAGAGUUUUGCCAAGAGAACACACUGGUAAUAGCAAACACCCUCUUCUAACAACACAAGAGAAGACUCUACACAUGGACAUCACCAGACUGUCAAUACUGAAAUCAGAUUGAUUAUAUUCUUUGCAGCCAAAGAUGGAGAAGCUCUGUACAGUCAGCAAAAACAAGCCCAGGAACUGGCUGUGGCUCAGAUCAUGAACUCCUUAUUGCCAAAUUCAGACUUAAAUUGAAGAAAGUGGGGAAAACCAUUAGACCAUUCAGGUAUGUCCUAAAUCAAAUCCCUUAUGAUUAUACAGUGGAAGUGAGAAAUAGAUUUAAGGGACUAGAUCUGAUAGAUAGGGUGCCUGAUGAACUAUGGACGGAGGUUCAUGACAUUGCAGAGGAGACAGGGAUCAAGACCAUCCCCAUGGAAAAGAAAUGCAAAAAAGCAAAAUGGCUGUCUGGGGAGGCCUUACAAAUAGCUGUGAAAAGAAGAGAAGUGAAAGCAAAGGAAAAAGGAAAGAUAUAAGCAUCUGAAUGCAGAGUUCCAAAGAAUAACAAGGAGAGAUACGAAAGCCUUCCUUAGCGAUCAGUGCAAAGAAAUAGAGGAAAACAACAGAAUGGGAAAGAUUAGAGAUCUCUUCAAGAAAAUUAGAGAUACCAACGGAACAUUUCAUGCAAAGAUGGGCUCAAUAAAGGACAGAAAUGGUAUGGACCCAACAGAAGCAGAAGAUAUUAAGAAGAGGUGGCAAGAAUACACAGAAGAACUGUACAAAAAAGAUCUUCAUAACCAAGAUAAUCACGAUGGUGUGAUCACUCAUCUAGAGCCAGACAUCCCGGAAUCUGAAGUCAAGUGGGCCUUAGGAAGCAUCACUAUGAACAAAGCUCCUGGAGGUGGUGGAAUUCCAGUUGAGCUAUUUCAAAUCCUGGGAGAUGAUGCUGUGAAAGUGCUGCACUCAAUAUGCCAGCAAAUUUGGAAAACUCAGCAGUGUCCACAGGACUGUAAAAGGUCAGUUUUCAUUCCAGUCCCCAAAAAAGGCAAUGCCAAAGAAUGCUCAAACUACCACACAAUUGCACUCAACUUACAUGCUGGUAGAGUAAUGCUCAAAAUUCUCCAAGCCAGGCUUCAGCAGUACGUGAACCGUGAACCUCCAGAUGUUCAAG
ensembl:lncRNA